rnacentral:rRNA from 1 species
AUGGCGGCGAAGGUGCUCCAGCUCCGUAGCUCCGACGGCAAGGUGCUCGUCGCUCCGGCGUGGGACUAUCGCCCCACCGCCGCCCAAGCCCGCCCGCUGGAGAUGCGGGUGCCCUCGCGCGUCCUCGAGAGGGUGCUCCAGUACUGGACCAAGCACAGCCUUGCCAAGGCAACCGGUGAGUCCCGGGAGUCCCUCGCCCGCUGGGACGGCGACUUCCAGCGCCGUCUCGAGGAAGACGGCCUCGCCAAGGAGGCUGCCGCAGCCGCCCAAGAACUCCGCCGCUACGGCGUCGACCAUGGAGGGCGUCCCCAUCGCUACGCCGCCACGGCCACAUCUGAUGUCGCUGCUCCUGCCAAGGCGGCCCGUGCUGAUCCCAUCCGUGUCUGGUGUGUCAACCACGGAGAACGCAGCCAUGCGCCGGCGAUGCCCGGCUCCUUCGAUGCCUCCGCCGCGCGCCCAGGGCCUGCCACCACCUUGCCGGCUGCUGCUGGUGCUGACCCCGUGGAUGUCCGGUGCGCGAUCCGUGCCCGUGGACGCCAGAUGGCUGAAGACGAGGAGUCCGCUUGCCACCACCGCAAGCGCCCAUCUUCCAAGGCUCCACUCUGCCUGACUGCCACUGCUGUUGCGCCCGUGAAGAAGGUCUCUCGUCCCGUCGCUUCCAAGGCUCGCUCUUUCGUCGGCUCAACACCAUUGCCAGUCACUGCUGCUGUGCCCAGUGUGAAGAAGGCGACUCCAGCUUCAACUCUACGCGCAAGAAGGGGGAUGGGGGAGCUCAGCUGCAAGGUUCCGAAGCAAAACCGUGUCACCGCUGCAGCACCAAUGAAGCAACCAAUUGCUUGGCUGCGUCCAGUGGUAUUACGCCCUUGCUAG